rnacentral:tRNA from 1 species
GUACCUGUAGUUUAGUUGGAUAGAAUGCAAGGCUACGAACCUUGAGAUCGGGGGUUCGAAUCCCUCCAGGUACACCA